GAAUUUCUCAAGCGCAAGCGCAGCUGUGGAAUUGUGACAGCGUUUGCUCGAAUGUCGGUUAUAAGGGAUGUCCUCGCUGCAUGGGAGAAAACAACUAUUUAUUUUACAUACUACAAAGACUGUUCUUUUUUCGUUGGUGAAUGAAAUAUAUUUUCGGAAUAAAUAUUUGCCCACGAUGACAAUUAAACAGCCCGAUUCCUUAGUAUAUUUGGCUGUUCGUCAAUGGGCUAGUGUGCCAUAGAGCCGCUCCCUCUCCCCCUCUACUUCCUUACAGCUCUUGGUUAUAAUCACAAGACUGAUCUGUAGCGUAGCCUAUGGUCUGGGUUAGAUGGGAAGAUGAUAUUGGUUCCUGGCGAAGCCAACGAAUGUGAACGAGAAAUAAAGACUGUGGGUAAAGUCAAGUGCCAUCAUACUGUUUGGGAAUGCUAGAGCAGAGAGGGCUGUGAAGAACACAUCAACCAACUGCACAUGGACCAGCCCCUCUCUAGGAUGACAACCUGACAGCAGCAGCCUCAACAUGAAGAGGACGUAAAUGCCACACCACACCACCUGGCAAUGGCCCAGUUAAAGACUAGCCAAUUCUAUGAGUUCUACACCAGUGAAUUCAAGCAUAACACCGAGACUAAUCAUUUUGCUUCUACUAUGCAGCAUACUGAAGGGAUUUCUAUUUUGUCUGUCACUUUUUGCCUGUGACACAUUUGUAUUUCACAAAGUUAAGUAUUGUAAUCAUUUCCUUUGGUAAUAAACUCCAUUAAUACAA